GGAAGGAUGACUUAGCAGACAAGGAUUUUAUAUUUAAACAAAAUAUUACUUUUAAACUGAUUAUAUCUCUUUACAUUUCCCGAUGACAGUAUUAUUUGGCCUUCUCUCAUACAGAGCCUAAAGUAUUACUAUUCGGUUCUGUUCAGAUUCUUCUGCCACGCCUAUCACUCUGGUAUUUGAGUGCCUUUCACUUGUGCUGCAGAACAGCUACUACUAAUUCAUUAGGAGGAAAAAACAGGCUUACAGGGCACAGGUAGGAAAGACUAUGCCUUUCAUUCCUUCUCUGUGGAAUAGGAACACAAACAGACAGGAUGCUACUUGCAGUAAGGUGACUCCCUGAACAAUAUCCAAACAGAGAAUUCCUAAGUCAAUCCAAUAAACACCCAAGCACCAACAGCUCAAGCAGCCACAAGUCUAUUUUCCCGGACUCCCCUGCCUUUUACCUUUGUCCAGGGAAAGCAGACUUCUGCCUAUUUAAGGUGCAGCCCUUAUGGCAAACCGACAUUCUUUCUGCAGGGGAAGAGGCUGACAGCUUCCAAGUUAAAGGGGUGUGGCCGUGCAGGAGUCGGGCUGCAAUUUGAUAAUGGUUUACUAUUUAAAGUUAGACAGCAGCAGCAUUAUCGGGAAGGUCAAAGAAAAACAGAACCUAUCGUCUGCCAUACGUUUAAAGUCUAACAGACUGGAAAGGAAAAUGAGAGUUAUUUGGAGCGAAGAAUGACAUCAACUCGGCAACCCUUCCUUGUUCGCUAUGGGGUGGAAGGAUGAAGCGAAUCUGUGCAAUGUACUGGUUGAAAAGAAUCAUGACUAAAAACAUGGAUGCUCAUGUGUGAGAAAUGACAAGCAAAUGAGCUGCCUGACUAAGAGAAGUGGAGCCAUUGUGAGACACAACUUGGGAGAAAGAAAUUGAAAUGCAAAACUGGAGGGAACCUUUCUUAACAACAACAACAAAUUUAAAACCUCUUUAUGGAAAUACAAGAAAUAAAGCUGAAAGUUGUGGUGAAACUCCCAUGGCUCCGUGACAUGCGACAGUCACACAGUGAAUCAGUGGCAGACACUAGAAGAUUAACCUUCGGGAACAGUACAGCAUUGGCAGAGAAAUGGAUGAGAUGAUCUAAUAGAUAUUUUCCACCACUAAUAUGAUUCGGCAAUGAUUUCACAUAGAUCUCUACAUUAUCUCAGCCUUUAGAAAUAAAUGUGUUGUCUGAUCUUUCCCCUUCUAACUCAAACGUAACACAUACAUUAAUAAAUUGCAAGCUGGGCCCACUGCUGCUGUUCUUGUAGUCAAAACUUUUGCA